rnacentral:tRNA from 1 species
GCCGAUGUCGGACACUGGUUAGUCCCUCGUUCUGAUGAAACGAUGAAGGUGGUUCGAUUCCACCCAUCGGUACCA